UCUGUCGUCAGUUGCAACACUCACUACUAAGUUCUAAACUGCCUGUGGAAGCAACGUCAACGUCAACUCUUCGUCGGGAGCUUCAUGUAAUGGGUUUCCAUGGCUGAGCAGCCGCACACAAGCCUAAGAUCACCAUGCGCACUGCCAAGGGUUGGCUGGAGUGGUGUAAAGCUCGCCGCUAUUGGAGUCUGGAGCAGUGGAAACGCUUCUCUUGAGUGAGGAAUCACACUUAAAAAUCUGACAGCCCUUCGGAUGAAUCUGGGUUUGGCGGAUGCCAGGAGAACGCUACCUGCUCAAAUUCAUAGUGCCAACUAUAAAGUUUAGUGCAGGAGGAAUAAUGGUCUGUGGCUGUUUUUCAUGGCUAGGCCCCUUAGUUCCAGUGAAGGGAAAUCUUAACUCUACAGCAUUCAAUGACAUUGUAGACGAUUCUGUGCUUCCAACUUUGUGGCAACAGUUUGGGAAGGCCCUUUCCUGUUUCAGCAUGACAGUGCCCCCGUGCACAAAGCGAGGUCCAUACUGAAAUGGUUUGUCGAAAUCGGUGUGGAAGAACUUGACUGGCCUGCACAGAGCCCAUGAUCUCAACCCCAUCAAACACCUUUGGGAUGAAUUGUAACGCAGACUGCAAGCCAGGCCUAACGCUUCGAACACACCGACUGCGUCAUUGCAUCACUGCUACGUAACAUUUUGCGCAGCUAGGCAACUAUACUGAUGCAGGUACCUUUUGCAGAUGGUCGCAUGCGGUUGUACACAUGGAAGAGAAUCAUUUUCACAGUAUCCUCAAAACCGUGUCUUUUUGACACAACUGCUGACAGCUACAGGGACAUAAACACAAAAUAUGCUGCUUGGAGACAAGUGUCCACGAUAGUAGGAUUGCCAGGUCAGCUUAGUAGUGAGCAUGUGCUAGAUGUGGCUAGUUAGCUAGCUAGCUAACCUAGCUUGCUAACCUAGCCAAUGAGGUGUGUGUGUGUGUGUGUGUGUGUGUGUGUGUGUGUGUGUGUGUGUGUGUGUGUGUGUGUGUGUGUGUGUGUGUGUGUGUGUGUGAAAGAAAGAAAGAAAUAGUCAAAUAAAUUAUGCUAGUUACUACCCCUGAUAACUUGAUCAAAUAAUCAUGUUUGAAAGAGUGUGAGUAUGUAUGUCAUAAAUAGUCAUAGAAAUGGAAGAUACUACUGUACCCCUGAUAAUUUGGUCAGAUAACCGUGUGUGUGUCUAUGUGUACAGUAGGUGACAUGUCCAUGAUAGCUAUCUAAUAACUAUAGGUAUGCUAGGUAAUGGUUUGGCUUAUCAUGUCUAUGUAGAAGAAGACUGUAGGAGGAAGUGGAGAGGACUCAGGGACAGGUAUCAGAGAGAGAGAAGGGCAGAGAAAGAGAAGAAGAGGUCUGGGUCAGCAGCUUCAGGCCAGCAGCCUUGGCGCUUCUGCCACAUUCUUUCUUUUCUGGAUCCAUUUAUUGUGCCUAGGGCAACGAGUGGCAAUUUUACAGCCAGACCCUCUACUACGUCAUCCACAAGUGUUGUCGCCACCGGUGCAUCAAGACCCUCAAUGUCACCUACAAGUGCGACCAUCGCCUCCACCGGUGCAGCGAGACCCUCUACAAUGUCUACAUCAUCCACAAGUAUGACCACCAUCGGUGCAGCCAUGGAAGACGAUGAAAUGGAGGAAGCACCUCUGGAUCUAGGACCACCUGAGAUUAUUAUGAACCUCACGGAAGUGACCACUGAGGACCUCGUUGAACAGGAUGUGGCCGUGGAGACAGAGAGAGAAACGAAGAGGAACAACGUCACACCAGGCGUCAUCGAAGGUUCCAGCCCCCAGAUCCACUCAACUCAUUUCAGCAGAGGCUCCUCCAAGCCGUCGAGAGGGAUGCAGCCCAAGCUGAUGCUCACAGGAAGGAGGAUGAAGAGACCCUCUUUGCCAUGAGCCUGGUGCCAACCCUGAAGAGGCUGCCUCAGCAAAGAAAAGCAGCAGUCAAAGUUAAAAUGUAUCAGCUGCUUUUCGAAGCCGAGUUCAAUGAGAUGGAGUCCAUUUAGCCGACCAGCUCACAGGAAGGACAGGAAGAGGAGAGGAGUUGUCUGGUUGUUGUUUUUGACCUCCCUCAUUGUACCUUUCUUUUCACACACGUCCGUUCCGUUUAAAUUCAGUCAAUUCAUAAAGUCAUUUGUUUAUAAAGUCUCGGGAUAGCAUUCAUUAUUAGUGUUACAUAGAUUUCUGAAUUGACAGAAUUGAAACUCUGUUAUAGGAAUUUUAUACCUUGAUGAUAAUAAUCAAUAAUCAAUUCGCCUUGACUAAUGCCCAAGGUUUGUAAGACAAUGGGUUAAAAUAAUUAAGCAAGGACUCAGCUUUCUGCAAAAGGUUUCUGUAGCUUUAUUCAGAGAACGUUCUGCCGUCAGGAUAACAAAACAGUCAUUAUAUAGUUCUUGCUUACUUACGCACAUGCAUUUACACACAAUCUGUUGGUGACCUGCAACCCCCAUAAACUUCUCACACUGUUUGUCACCUUCUGGCUCUUAUCAAACUCAUACACCGAAUAAUUCACAGAUGCUCUUUUUUAAAUGUUUACACGCACACACACCUCUUUCAAUAGUUGUAUUUUUUUUAAACAUUUUUUACAACACACAUACCUGUCAUGUUCUUUCCUGUACUUGAAUACUUAUUAAAUUAUGUUUUCAUAGUCA